UUGGAACAUUAACAGAACAUUCCGACAUGGUACUAUUUUGGUCGUAUCAUAACGUUCCUGAUAUGACUGUAGGAUGACGUUCCAUAUUGGUUAUCCUGUGGUCACAUAAGAACGUUACAGAAAGGACUUUUGGAACAUUUACAGAACCAUCCUACAUGGUCCUCUGUUGGUCAUAUAAUAUUGUUCCUGAUAUGACUUUAGGGGGACGUCCCAUAUUGGUUAUCCUGUGGUCACAUGGCAACGUUACAAAGAGGACAUUUGGAACAUUAAUAGAAUGUUCUCACAUGGUCCUCUGUUGGUCAUUUAAUAAUGUUCCUGAUAUCACUAGGAGGACAAAAUAUGAAAUUACAGUUAGAGCAUUUUAUUUUUAUAGGCAGUUAAUAAAAAGGAUGUGUCAAUGUGCAGUGGACCAUACAAACAAAGUAAUAAAUAAAUGAUUUCAGAAUGAAGAAAAAUAAAUGAGUGAUUCAGUCUGCACUAUCGUACAUCAGACAAAGACAAAUAGUAAUUAAAUAAGACUUUACAUUACAUUGUGUUAACAAGCACAAAAAAUACUAGUAAAUAAUACUAUACUAAUAUGUAUUAUGUUGUACUCUCUGAAUAUAAUGAUGUAGAUUGCAAUGCAUCUUGGAAACAGUAGUCAGUUAACAGCAAAGCGUUCAAUCCGCUUUAUGAAAAGAACUACCUUUCCCAUAAUGCAACAGCUUACAAGAGGACCCGGAAGUCACAUGAAAUUCAAACUGCCACACUUGACGACGCGUGAUCUUUGUUUUGUCUUUAUAUAAUACUGUAAGAAGUCAUGUACCACACAUUGUCAAACCUGAAGAAGUGUAUCUUCCUGCAAUCUGGGUAAAGAAGGUGUAACUUUAACACACAUUAUUUAAAAACAUAAGAGUCAUGUUCAUUAUUUAUCUUUGUGUAAUUUGAUUUAAAUUACAAUAUUGAAUGUAUUGAAUUUGUUAAAUUUUGUAUGAGGUAAUUUCUUGUAUGGGUUAAUUUGCCUAAUAUUAGUAUUAGAUACAAAAGCACAAGUGUUUUGGCUUAAAAGUGACAGCAUGUUUUAAAAAUGUUUCAGGUACUGGGGCUUGGAUUGUUUGAAGUAGUAAAGAAUAAUGGCAAAUAAUGAAGCAGGCAAUAAAAAAUACUUGACCAAGAAGUUUUGGAGCUUAACAUUUUUGUAGUUUGUAAUUGCUUUUUUCUUUAAGUUGGUAAUUUGAAAAUCUUUCUGGAAGUCUGAAAUCUUCCUACAUAUUUUUUUCACAUCUCGAUUUGAAUGUUAAAAAUCUUAGUUCUUGGAUUUGUGAUGUUUUGUAAUAUGUGUUUUUGCCCUUACUUAUGCAUUUUAUGUAAAUAUAUUUUUAACUGGAUUUGUAUUUGUAUGCUCUUAUUCUGCAGGCUCCAGACCUGGGGCCUAUAACAUGAAGCUGGUUUAGUUGGUUAGCCAGCUUUGUUUAGGAUUAGUUUGUGCAAAUCCUGGGUUUUGGGUACCAUGAAAAUAGCUUUUACCAACAAGGCCUGCACAUUGGCUUGGUUUUGUCAACCUGAAACUAAUCCUGUAACCCUGAGUUUGUUUAACCAUUUUCAUGGUACGGGCCCCUGGAGAUUGAAGUUCCUAAAGGUUGAUGUUUAUCAAGCUUGUGACCUUAUCACAUGGUGUUAUGUUUUUACAUUUAUAUAUCUAAUACACAUUUGCACAUCUGUAAACAUAAAUUUAAUAUUUUGUGGACUAUUUUUUAUUUUAUUUAACCAGUUGUUGUAUAUUGAAAUAUGUUACAUUUUAUGCACUCCAAAUGUAAAUGUUUUGUUUUAAUUGCAUCUUUAUUGUUUAAAACAAUUUAAUUAAUGUGGGUUUUUGUUAGCUUUUAUGUUAUUCUUGUAUUUUUUGGCUAUUUAUUUGUUUUUGUUUUUUGUUAUCCUUCUGUUAAUUUGCCAGAUUUUGACCUUCUAUUUGUUUUUCCUGUAAUCUCACUUCAAUUAUUUUCUGUGUUUCUCAAUGAUAAAUUUUUGUCACAGUCCCAAUUUGUUCCUGCUUGUUUCUCCACUGUCAGGUGAGGAUAAUAAAAAGGAUUAUGGGAAAUGAAGUCCAAAUGGAUUAUGAACGGGGAACUGUUCGUCAUCCAUUUGGACUUCAUUUCCCAUAAUCCUUUUCACUCUCUCACCUGAACUGUGUUUGUUAUUAUCCUCACCUGACAGUCAUCCCCCUCAUCACUCCAUUGUCUAAAUACCCUGCUUUUCCCUUUGUCUAGGUCAGUUCUUGUUUAUAGUGAUGUGUUGUGUGUUUUGCUGUUUACCAGUUUCCAUGUUCCUUGUUUUAUAUUAAUUAAAGAUUAUCAUUUUGGAUUCAU